rnacentral:rRNA from 1 species
GACGUAGGGGCGCGAGCGUUGUCCGGAUUUAUUGGGCGUAAAGAGCUCGUAGGCGGCUUGUCACGUCGAUUGUGAAAGCCCGAGGCUUAACCUCGGGUCUGCAGUCGAUACGGGCUAGCUAGAGUGUGGUAGGGGAGAUCGGAAUUCCUGGUGUAGCGGUGAAAUGCGCAGAUAUCAGGAAGAACACCCGUGGCGAAGGCG